rnacentral:ribozyme from 1 species
AAGGAAGGAAGGAAGAAAGAAAGAAAGGAAAAGGGAGGAAUUUUUGUUUUCACUUGUUUGUUUUUUUAUUGCCACACUCCUUUUUUUUUUUUUUUU